rnacentral:rRNA from 1 species
GACGAACGCUGGCGGCGUGCCUAAUACAUGCAAGUCGAACGCAGUGGGGACGGGUGAGUAACACGUGGGUAACCUCCCAUCAGAGGGGAUAACACUUGGAAACAGGUGCUAAACCGAUACUGAUGGAUGGACCCGCGGUGCAUUAGCUAGUUGGUGAGGUAACGGCUCACCAAGGCCACGAUGCAUAGCCGACACGGAGGGGGGAUCGACAACGAGGGGACUGAAGCGCGGCCCAGACUUCUCCGGGCGGCAGCAGUAGGGAUUCUUGGGCAAUGGACGAAAGUCUGACAGAGCAACGCGGCGUGAGUGAAGAAUGUUGUCGGAUCGUAAAGCUCUGUUGUUAGAGAAGCGGUCUCUAACCAGAAAGCCACGCCUAACUACGUGCCAGCCGCCGCGGUAAUUC